GUGAUAGGAUUUCAGACACCCCUAAAGUGGACCGUACCAUUUCCUGACCCUGACGUUAAGUCUUGUUUACCUUCCUUACUCGCGUCAGUGGCUCGCGCUGCGUCUCUGCCCCCGAUGCGACAAUGAUGGUAAAUGCUUUAUACUGAGCAGGGAGCAGAGGGACGUCAUACGCCCAGGAGGAUCAACCCAAACCUCUGGUCAGUUUUUUAAGAUCACGCCCUCAUAAUAGCGGGGACGGAGAAGAGGCAUGUCAUAAACGGCAACCAGAGAGGGAGGGGCACGAUGUGGAGGAGGAGAAGAGAGGACAGAAGAUGUCAGGCAGAGACUGUGAGUAAAAACUGAAAGACAAAAGAGAAAUAAAAGGAGAGGAGAUUAAAAAAAGGACCCAAAAAACAUCUGAAUGUGCUGGGCUGGACUAAAUAAAUCCCAACAACCGAGCCCCGUGAGUAAUAUAGAAAGGAUUUCAGCA